ACCUCCGACCGGGACGCCGUCGCCUUCGUGUCUCCACCGCGCUCGCCGCCGCGGUCCUUCCUCGCGGCUACCCUCCCCGAUGUUGUCACCGUCACGAGGUCGGGGGUCCUGGGCGUGCACAAAUGGCUACCCUCCGACGAGCACUCGCCCUGAAGGUUCUCCAUUGAAGUCAACCCUUCAAUCACCAACCCAAAUAAGGAGUGUGAAAACUUGACCUGCCUGGGCGCGCAGAUGAGGUCUUUGCUGUUGACUGGGCCCCAGAUGGAAUGCGAGUGGCAUCUGGUGGAAAGGAUAAAGUGCUCAAAUUGUGGCAAAAUUGACAAGAUAUUAUGAAACCUAUGGUAAAUAAUAAUUUGUUAUCUUAAAAUAUAGAACAAUGCUGGAAGACUUAAUAAACUUGGGUACUAAGUAAAGGCA